GACGACGCUGGCGGCGUGGAUUAGGCAUGCAAGUCGAACGGUAUCAUCCUUUCGGGGGUGAGAGAGUGGCGAACUGGUGAGUAACACGUAGGUUAUCUACCCUCAAGACGGGGACAACCCAGGGAAACUUGGGCUAAUACCGGAUGUGAGCAACUUUUAGUUGUUUGAAAGGUGGCGUAAGCUGUCGCUUGGGGAUGAGCCUGCGUCCUAUUAGUUAGUUGGUGAGGUAACGGCUCACCUAGGCAAUGAUAGGUAGGCGGCCUUAACGGGUGGUCGCCCACACUGGGAUUGAGAUACGGCCCAGACUCCUACGGGAGGCAGCAGUCGAGAAUAGUCUACAAUGGUCGGAAGACUGAUAGUGCGACGCCGCGUGAACGAUGAAUCCCUUCGGGGUGUAAAGUUCUUUUAUAUGUGAGCAGUGCUUCUUAUAUUAACAGUAUGGGGAGAGAGAUAUUAGCAUAUGAAUAAGCAACGGCUAACUACCGUG
rnacentral:rRNA from 1 species